rnacentral:rRNA from 1 species
GACGCCCCUAAUCCAGCCCACAUCCCCUGUCUCAAAUUUAUUUCCCCCCAAAAAAAAUAAAUCAUUCUUGAUCUAAAGUAAAUGCGAUUGAAAAAGAAAAACUUGGAGCCUUAUUAAUAGUACCGUAAGGGAAAGAUGAAAUAGAAAUUAAACAAAUAUUUAAGCAACAAACAGUAGAGACUUCAACUCGUACCUUUUGCAUUAUGGUUUAACUAGUCCAACCAGGCAAAAAGAUCUUUAGUCUGACUUCCCGAAACUAAGUGAGCUACUCCAAGGUAACCCUAGAGUUAACCCGUCUCUGUGGCAAAAGAGUGGGAUAACCUUCGAGUAGAGGUGACAUACCUAUCGAACUUAGUAAUAGCUGGUUACUCAAGAAACGAAUUUAAGUUCCUUCUCAAGAGUAUUUAGCAUGCUUACAUUAAGCAAAUUUAACCUCUUAAGACCUAUUCAAUUAGGGUACAGCCUCAUUGAAAAAGGAUACAACCUAUUACUCAGGUUAAUGUUUUUAUAGACCUAGCAUAAGUUGGCCUAAGAGCAGCCACCUUUAAAAUAGCGUCAAAGCUUUCUCUACCGUCUUCUCAAAUCCCGUAAUCCCUACAGAACCCGAUACUAUUAUUGAGUCCUUCUAUACUUCUAUAGAAGUGUCUAUGUUAAAACUAGUAACACAGAACUUAUUCUCCCUAUGUAAGUGUAAAUCAGACAGAAUAAAUCACUGAUAAUUAUUCAGUAAUGAAUUUACUGUAAUAACCCCACUAGAAAACCCUACAGCCCUUUACUGUUAACCUAACACAAGAACAUAAGAGAAAGAUUAAAAGAUAAGGAAGGAACUCGGCAAAUCUAAAUCCCGCCUGUUUACCAAAAACAUCGCCUUUUGCACACUAUAUAAGGUAAUGCCUGCCCAG